CAGUCGCCGCGGUAAUACGUAGGUCCCGAGCGUUGUCCGGAUUUAUUGGGCGUAAAGCGAGCGCAGGCGGUUAGAUAAGUCUGAAGUUAAAGGCUGUGGCUUAACCAUAGUACGCUUUGGAAACUGUUUAACUUGAGUGCAAGAGGGGAGAGUGGAAUUCCAUGCGUAGCGGUGAAAUGCGUAGAUAUAUGGAGGAACACCGGUGGCGAAAGCGGCUCUCUGGCUUGUAACUGACGCUGAGGCUCGAAAGCGUGGGGAGCAAACAGGAUUAGAUACCCGUGUAGUCCCUGUCUCUUAUACA
rnacentral:rRNA from 1 species